CCUACGGGGUGCUGCAGUGAGGAAUAUUGGUCAAUGGGCUUACGCCUGAACCAGCCAAGUCGCGUGAGGGAAGACUGCCCUAUGGGUUGUAAACCUCUUUUGUCAGGGAGCAACGCCGGCUACGUGUAGCCGGACUGAGAGUACCUGAAGAAAAAGCAUCGGCUAACUCCGUGCCAGCAGCCGCGGUAAUACGGAGGAUGCGAGCGUUAUCCGGAUUUAUUGGGUUUAAAGGGUGCGUAGGCGGAAUGCCAAGUCAGCGGUAAAAUCGAGAGGCUCAACCUCUUUCCGCCGUUGAAACUGUCGGUCUUGAGUGGGCGAGAAGUAUGCGGAAUGCGUGGUGUAGCGGUGAAAUGCAUAGAUAUCACGCAGAACUCCGAUUGCGAAGGCAGCAUACCGGCGCCCGACUGACGCUGAGGCACGAAAGCGUGGGUAUCGAACAGGAUUAGAUACCCUAGUAGUC
rnacentral:rRNA from 1 species